rnacentral:tRNA from 1 species
CGCACGGUGGUGUAAAGGCAAACAUCAAGGUCUCAUAAGCCUUGGCUAUGGGUUCGAGUCCCGUCUGUGCGU